GGAGGCUUCGCCUAGUCUGGUCUAUGGCGCCGCACUGCUAAUGCGGUUUGGGACUUCAAUCCCAUCCGGGGUUCAAAUCCCCGAGCCUCCG
rnacentral:tRNA from 5 species